CCUACGGGUGGCAGCAGUGAGGAAUAUUGGUCAAUGGACGAGAGUCUGAACCAGCCAAGUAGCGUGAAGGAUGACUGCCCUAUGGGUUGUAAACUUCUUUUAUAUGGGAAUAAAAUGUUCCACGUGUGGGAUUUUGUAUGUACCAUAUGAAUAAGGAUCGGCUAACUCCGUGCCAGCAGCCGCGGUAAUACGGAGGAUCCGAGCGUUAUCCGGAUUUAUUGGGUUUAAAGGGAGCGUAGGUGGAUUGUUAAGUCAGUUGUGAAAGUUUGCGGCUCAACCGUAAAAUUGCAGUUGAAACUGGCAGGCUUGAGUAUGGUAGAGGUGGGCGGAAUGCGUGGUGUAGCGGUGAAAUGCUUAGAUAUCACGAAGAACUCCGAUUGCGAAGGCAGCUCACUGGGCCGCAACUGACACUGAGGCUCGAAAGUGUGGGUAUCAAACAGGAUUAGAUACCCGGGUAGUC
rnacentral:rRNA from 1 species